rnacentral:rRNA from 1 species
GACGAACGCUGGCGGCGUGCUUAACACAUGCAAGUCGAACGGAAAGGCCCUGCUUUUGUGGGGUGCUCGAGUGGCGAACGGGUGAGUAACACGUGAGUAACCUGCCCUUGACUUUGGGAUAACUUCAGGAAACUGGGGCUAAUACCGGAUAGGAGCUCCUGCUGCAUGGUGGGGGUUGGAAAGUUUCGGCGGUUGGGGAUGGACUCGCGGCUUAUCAGCUUGUUGGUGGGGUAGUGGCUUACCAAGGCUUUGACGGGUAGCCGGCCUGAGAGGGUGACCGGCCACAUUGGGACUGAGAUACGGCCCAGACUCCUACGGGAGGCAGCAGUGGGGAAUAUUGCACAAUGGGCGGAAGCCUGAUGCAGCAACGCCGCGUGCGGGAUGACGGCCUUCGGGUUGUAAACCGCUUUCGCCUGUGACGAAGCGUGAGUGACGGUAAUGGGUAAAGAAGCACCGGCUAACUACGUGCCAGCAGCCGCGGUGAUACGUAGGGUGCGAGCGUUGUCCGGAUUUAUUGGGCGUAAAGGGCUCGUAGGUGGUUGAUCGCGUCGGAAGUGUAAUCUUGGGGCUUAACCCUGAGCGCGCUUUCGAUACGGGUUGACUUGAGGAAGGUAGGGGAGAAUGGAAUCCCUGGUGGAGCGGUGGAAUGCGCAGAUAUCAGGAGGAACACCAGUGGCGAAGGCGGUUCUCUGGGCCUUUCCUGACGCUGAGGAGCGAAAGCGUGGGGAGCGAACAGGCUUAGAUACCCUGGUAGUCCACGCUGUAAACGGUGGGUACUAGGUGUGGGGUCCAUUCCACGGGUUCCGUGCCGUAGCUAACGCUUUAAGUACCCCGCCUGGGGAGUACGGCCGCAAGGCUAAAACUCAAAGGAAUUGACGGGGCCCCGCACAAGCGGCGGAGCAUGCGGAUUAAUUCGAUGCAACGCGUAGAACCUUACCUGGGUUUGACAUGGAUCGGGAGCGCUCAGAGAUGGGUGUGCCUCUUUUGGGGUCGGUUCACAGGUGGUGCAUGGCUGUCGUCAGCUCGUGUCGUGAGAUGUUGGGUUAAGUCCCGCAACGAGCGCAACCCUUGUUCACUGUUGCCAGCACGUUAUGGUGGGGACUCAGUGGAGACCGCCGGGGUCAACUCGGAGGAAGGUGGGGAUGACGUCAAGUCAUCAUGCCCCUUAUGUCCAGGGCUUCACGCAUGCUACAAUGGCUGGUACAGAGAGUGGCGAGCCUGUGAGGGUGAGCGAAUCUCGGAAAGCCGGUCUCAGUUCGGAUUGGGGUCUGCAACUCGACCUCAUGAAGUCGGAGUCGCUAGUAAUCGCAGAUCAGCAACGCUGCGGUGAAUACGUUCCCGGGGCU